UCUUUUUUCUUUCUUUCCUUGAUUUUCUUUGGAGUCUCUCUGAUGACACCACGAAUCUGGGAAUGAAGAACUUCUCAGAGCUGAUUGGAAAUGGCAUUGCGGAGCUGAAACUUAACUGGAGGAAAUAUAUCUCCUGAAGAAGAAAAUAUAAUGCACUGUAAGGAUCUGACUUCUGGUGAAAAAUUCAAGCCUAGAGAAAACUUGUCCGCUUUGUUAGGAAGAAUGGGUUGGACAAUUUUCUUCAAUUCCAAAGGAUAUCUGAAUGCCAUGCUGAGCUUAAUCUCUGCAGCAUGCUCUGUGCUUCUCAUCUCUUCCUGAUGCACUGCAUGGUUAUCCUGAAAGGGAGGAUAAAGAAACUGGCCACCAAGAUGGUAAUCACUAGUGGAAAUGAAGAAGAUAAAGGCAGUCAAGAAAAGGAAAGCAAAGAAGAAACCAUCUUGGCAAUGCUUGGAAUUAUUGGGACAAUUCUGAACCUCAUUGUGAUCAUCUUUGUGUAUAUUUACACAACAUUGUAAACUAGAAGGCAUGCAAAUAGGCAAGCUAAAACGGCCAUUAAGAGUGACAACAAACUUUGCUGAGUAUUGACAGGUUGUUUAAUCAGAGUUGACUGUGUAUUAUAUUAACACAUCAUAAAAGCACUGCCUGCAGGCAGCGAAGGCUGAAGCACAAUUAAUUUAACAAGACUUUUUCACACAGUAACAAGCUAAUCUCUUCUCUCUGCCCUCUUCCUUUUGGUUUGGUUUUUGGUCUGGGGGAAAACAACUGCCAUUAUGUAAGCUGUAGCUUUGAUGAAAUCCACCACGGAUUAAAAAAAUAAUAACAAUAAAAAAGAAAUAACGAGAGAAAAAAAAACCAGAGAAAGAA